rnacentral:rRNA from 1 species
GAUGAACGCUGGCGGCGUGCCUAAUACAUGCAAGUCGAGCGAACUGACUCGGAGCUUGCUGCUCUACGGUUACCUACGGACUGGUGAUUUACACGUGGAUUCCAUACCUCUAUUACUGAUAUCACUUCGUACCACCUGAUCUCGUUCCGUAUAAUAUUUUGACCCGCAUGGUUCAAUAGUCAAAGGCGUUUUUGCUUUCACUUAUAGAUGCAUACGCGCCGCAUUAGCUAGUUGGUAAGUGAACGGCUUAACAAGGCAACGAUGCGUAGCCGACCUGAGAGGGUGAUCGGCCACACUGGAACUGAGAAAGGGUACAGACACCUACGGGAGGCAGCAGUAGGGAAUCUUCCGCAAAGGGCGAAAGCGUGACGGAGCAAAGCCGCGUGAGGGAUGAAGGACUACGGAUCGGAAAACGAUGUUAUUAGGGAAGAACAAAUGUGUAAGUAACUGUGAAGGUAUUGACGGUACCUAAUCAGAAAGCCACGGCUAACUACGUG